rnacentral:lncRNA from 1 species
GGGCGAGGUGGUCUGCUGUGUACUGCUUUGGUUUGUUUCCACCCUGGCUGCCAGAGCCAGGAGGAAGUGAAGGCAGGCGACACUGUCGUGGUCACUGCCUCCUUAAUGCUGAGAUGUAACCUUUGUUGGUUGUUUGGUAGAGAACAGGACAGCACAACCCUCGGUCCACUAACAGGUAAGGAAACUUGUGAUAACCAGUUGGUGUGAGGGGAAAACAACUUGGCUGCAUUUCCCCUCCUUCGCUCACCCAGAAUAUAACAGGUCCCAGAAAUAGG